GCGCCCAUGGCCUAAUGGAUAAGACGCUUGACUUCUAAUCAAGUGAUCAAGUGAUUGUGGGUUUGAGUCCCACUGGGCGUG
rfam:Ipomoea nil DNA, scaffold: scaffold1361, cultivar: Tokyo-kokei standard.